rnacentral:rRNA from 1 species
UACGUAGGGUCCGAGCGUUGUCCGGAAUUAUUGGGCGUAAAGGGCUCGUAGGCGGUUUGUCACGUCGGGAGUGAAAACUCAGGGCUCAACCCUGAGCGUGCUUCCGAUACGGGCAGACUAGAGGUAUGCAGGGGAGAACGGAAUUCCUGGUGUAGCGGUGGAAUGCGCAGAUAUCAGGAGGAACACCGGUGGCGAAGGCGGUUCUCUGGGCAUUACCUGACGCUGAGCAGCGAAAGCAUGGGGAGCGAACAGG